AGAGUUUGAUCCUGGCUCAGGACGAACGCUGGCGGCGUGCCUAACACAUGCAAGUCGAACGGACGAGGCCCUUCGGGGCCGAGUUAGUGGCGAACGGGUGAGUAACGCGUGAACAACCUGCCUCUUUGAGGGGGAUAACACCUGGAAACAAGUGCUAAUACCGCAUAAGACCACAUUACCGCAUGGUAAAGUGGUCAAAGGAGAAAUCCGCAGAGAGAGGGGUUCGCGUCCCAUUAGCUAGUUGGCGGGGCAACGGCCCACCAAGGCGACGAUGGGUAGCCGAGCUGAGAGGCUGAUCGGCCACACUGGAACUGAGACACGGUCCAGACUCCUAUGGGAGGCAGCAGUGGGGAAUAUUGGGCAAUGGGCGAAAGCCUGACCCAGCAACGCCGCGUGAGGGAAGAAGGCCUUCGGGUUGUAAACCUCUGUCCUUAGUGACGAAGGAAGUGACGGUAGCUAAGGAGGAAGCCCCGGCUAACUACGUGCCAGCAGCCGCGGUAAUACGUAGGGGGCGAGCGUUGUCCGGAAUUACUGGGCGUAAAGGGUGCGUAGGCGGUACUUUAAGUUGGAUGUGAAAUCCCCGGGCUUAACCUGGGGCCUGCAUCCAAUACUGGAGAACUAGAGUGCAGGAGAGGGAAGCGGAAUUCCUAGUGUAGCGGUGAAAUGCGUAGAUAUUAGGAGGAACACCAGUGGCGAAGGCGGCUUACUGGACGAUGACUGACGUUGAGGCUCGAAAGCGUGGGGAGCAAACAGGAUUAGAUACCCUGGUAGUCCACGCCGUAAACGAUGACUGCUAGGUGUCGGGUAGCAAAGCUAUUCGGUGCCGCAGCUAACGCAAUAAGCAGUCCACCUGGGGAGUACGUUCGCAAGAAUGAAACUCAAAGGAAUUGACGGGGACCCGCACAAGCGGUGGAGCAUGUGGUUUAAUUCGAAGCAACGCGAAGAACCUUACCUGAUCUUGACAUCCCGAUGACCGCUUCGUAAUGGAAGCUUUUCUUCGGAACAUCGGUGACAGGUGGUGCAUGGUUGUCGUCAGCUCGUGUCGUGAGAUGUUGGGUUAAGUCCCGCAACGAGCGCAACCCUUAUCUUCAGUAGCCAGCAUUUAGGAUGGGCACUCUGGAGAGACUGCCAGGGAUAACCUGGAGGAAGGUGGGGAUGACGUCAAAUCAUCAUGCCCCUUAUGACCAGGGCUACACACGUGCUACAAUGGCGUAAACAAAGGGAAGCAGAGCCGCGAGGCCGAGCAAAUCUCAAAAAUAACGUCUCAGUUCGGAUUGUAGUCUGCAACUCGACUACAUGAAGCUGGAAUCGCUAGUAAUCGCAGAUCAGAAUGCUGCGGUGAAUACGUUCCCGGGUCUUGUACACACCGCCCGUCACACCAUGGGAGUCAGUAACGCCCGAAGUCAGUGACCCAACCGAAAGGAGGGAGCUGCCGAAGGUGGGACCGAUAACUGGGGUGAAGUCGUAACAAGGUA
rnacentral:rRNA from 1 species